AGAGCACAGCCUAUGCUCUGCAGCGGUAGCGUGGCAGGCAUCCAUUGUCUUUUGCCUGGCCAGACUCAUCAGCGUUGCUCCAAUGGACUACAUCUUGUUCUGCACAGGCAGCUGAAAGGGGCAGUCUGUCACUGUGACUCUGCAUUGUGGCCGUUUGCAGUGUAGUCAUAGUCGCGGCCAUCGUCGAGGCCUCAUCGGCCGCACCUCUUCCGGGGCCGCUCUUGUUUUGCGUCUCGCUGGCGCCCUUUCAGGGUUUCCUUCCCUGCGUCAUCAUGGCCUCGGGUCUUUCUCGCCGGCCUCCUCUGCGUCAGUCUUCUGAGCUUUGCCGGUGCCUUUCCAUCCUGGGCAUUGACGUUUGACUCUUUUCUGGGCUCGUCCAGAGCCUAGGCCCUACGAUGCCACCACUGUGUGGCUCUUCCUGGCCAGUAGUGUCUUAUGUGUGGGAACAGGUUUUUUUUGUGUAGGGCUGUCCUCUGUGUUUGUGUCUGCUGUUUGUUUGUCUGUGUGUUUUUGGGGCUGGAGCUGCCUUGCCUGUGGGUGUUAGCCAUGGUGGUGUGUGGAGUGUGUCCGUGAUGUACUGGAGUGGUGGUGUUGCGGGCAUCGUCUGAGUGUGUGAUUUCUCUCUGUGCUUGCAGGUUUUGCGGGAAGUUGUGGAGAGAAGCAGCUGAGUGCUGAGAAGAGCCUGAGCAGGUCUGCUGUGGGCCUUUCCCAGGCGUGGCUGAGACUUUCAGGUGCCACGGGCUUCCUCCCCAGGCAUUGGAGUUGUUGUGGUGCAGGUGAUGAAGGCAAAUGUGGUGAGCAAAGGAAGAUCAGUGUGGAUGCGGCUGCUGCUGAGGAUGGCUCUUGAGGACCGGUGACCUACAGCACUGCCACAGUUAAGUUGAGGGGCAAAGGGUGUUGGGGCAUCCUCAGUUUCUGUGUAUGUGUGUGUGCGUGCUGAUGUUCAGUGUAGAGUGGAGGGUUGUUCUGGAUGAGUGGUGUGUGUGAGGCAGAGGCAGUGGGGUGUGCAUGGCAGAAAGCGAGGGUGGGUGUCAGGCAGGGCAGCUCCAGCCUGUGUCUGUGUUGUUGUGUAGUCUAUGUGGUGUGUGUUGUAGCUGUGCUAUCUUUUGCUCAGGUCUUGAUGUUGCUCUUGCUCUUUGUGCUCAAGGAGCACAGCCUAUGCUCUGCAGCAGUAGUGUGGCAGGCAUCCAUUGUCUUUUGCCUGGCCAGACUCAUCAGCAUUGCUCCAAUGGACUACGUCUUGUUCUGCAUAGGCAGCUGAAAGGGGUGGUCUGUGACUCUGACUGUGCAUUGUGGCCGUUUGCGGUCCGUCAUAGUCGUGGCCACCGUUGAGGCCUCAUCGGCCACACC